AACGAACGCUGGCGGCAUGCCUAACACAUGCAAGUCGAACGAGAUCCUUCGGUGUCUCGUGGCGCACGGGUGCGUAACGCGUGGGAAUCUGCCCUUAGGUUCGGAAUAACAGUUAGAAAUGACUGCUAAUACCGGAUGAUGACGUUAAGUCCAAAGAUUUAUCGCCUGAGGAUGAGCCCGCUUAGGAUUAGCUAGUUGGUGUGGUAAAGGCGCACCAAGGCGACGAUCCUUAGCUGGUCUGAGAGGAUGAUCAGCCACACUGGGACUGAGACACGGCCCAGACUCCUACGGGAGGCAGCAGUGGGGAAUAUUGGACAAUGGGCGCAAGCCUGAGCCAGCAAUGCCGCGUGAGUGAUGAAGGCCUUAGGGUUGUAAAGCUCUUUUACCCGAGGUGAUAAUGACAGUAUCGGGAGAAUAAGCCCCGGCUAACUCCGUG
rnacentral:rRNA from 1 species